GCCGAGUUGGGUAACUCUAGCUUGUAACCCAAGUGGGGGCAUCAAGGUGAUGGAACAUGGCUAUGAUUUGUCUAGGUUGGGGUGGUUGUUGCACCAUGUUGGCUUGCCCGUUCCAAGUUGAGAGUUGAGUCAUGGUGCUUAGGUGAAGGCUUAGGUGUCAUGACUCCUAGACUAGAGGGCAUAGCGUAAGGCUGGUUUAACAGAGCAGCGAACACCUCUGGCUCUUGACAGUGGAAGGAUUACAUGCUACAGCAUUGCCAUCCCACAAUGCCUGGUGAUCCAAGCCCUUGAACCAUCAUUUUU
rfam:Lupinus angustifolius cultivar Tanjil chromosome LG08, whole genome shotgun sequence.